rnacentral:RNase_P_RNA from 1 species
GGAGUAGGCCAGACAGUCGCGUCGCGCGCGAGCGCGUCGAGGAAAGUCCGGGCUCCACAGGGCAGAGUGCCAGGUAACGCCUGGGCGGCGUGAGCCGACGGAAAGUGCAACAGAGAGCAGACCGCCGAACGGCAUCUUCGGGUGCGCGUGGCAAGGGUGAAAGGGUGCGGCAAGAGCGCACCGCGUGCGGGGCCAACGCCGCACGGCACGGCAAACCCCACUCGGAGCAAGACCAAAUAGGGGGACAUUGGCGUGGCCCGCGUCGUCCCCGGGUAGGUUGCUGGAGCCAGGCGGCGACGCCUGGCCGAGAGGAAUGACUGUCACGCCGCGAGGCGCACAGAACCCGGCUUAUCGGCCGACUCCACCU